AGGCUCCCCUUAUAUAGUUGUUUUAGGUCGGCCUUAGUCGGUUUGGAGUAGGUUAAACUCUUCCAUAUUCGAAAAUAUGGAAGGUUCUCCUUAUCGGAAGUUUUCCUUUUCCCGGAGGAACGGGGUGGUCUCUGGGGUCUGGAGGAAUUCAAUACCUGAGUAUUUUUCCCCAACAGUUUGCCCGUUAUUGCUCGAUUUCGUCAUCGAAAUCGAGGAAUAACCGGUGCACUCAAGUCAACCGGUAUUGCUCACUCUCAGUAGGUUUUCCCCAGGCAUGACAUCGCUCCAGUAAUCCUGCUAUCGCUGGUUCCACUCAGGCAGGAGCCACAC
rnacentral:lncRNA from 1 species